UGGGGAAUAUUGGACAAUGGGCGCAAGCCUGAUCCAGCCAUGCCGCGUGAGUGAUGAAGGCCCUAGGGUUGUAAAGCUCUUUCACCGGUGAAGAUAAUGACGGUAACCGGAGAAGAAGCCCCGGCUAACUUCGUGCCAGCAGCCGCGGUAAUACGAAGGGGGCUAGCGUUGUUCGGAUUUACUGGGCGUAAAGCGCACGUAGGCGGACUUUUAAGUCAGGGGUGAAAUCCCGGGGCUCAACCCCGGAACUGCCUUUGAUACUGAAAGUCUUGAGUAUGGUAGAGGUGAGUGGAAUUCCGAGUGAAGAAGUGAAAUUCGUAGAUAUUCGGAGGAACACCAGUGGCGAAGGCGGCUCACUGGACCAUUACUGACGCUGAGGUGCGAAAGCGUGGGGAGCAAACAGG
rnacentral:rRNA from 1 species